rnacentral:misc_RNA from 1 species
GCGGGUGGGGAAAAAAGUUAAUAGAACAUACAACACUAACCCUUAAAGGAAUUAUUCAAUUCAAAACAAUACUGACCUGAAGGCGAGGCAACUUCGUAACAGCUUUAAUACUUUCCCUUGAAGUAGCACCUUCAGGCCAGUCCAGUCUACCCCUUCUGAUAUAUUUCUCUGCAUGCCGACUGACCAAAACACAAAAAAGAUAAUAUUAAGCAAAAGAGAACAAUGAGAUGUGAGGCAUCCCUGAGAAAGUUGAAGA